CUCGAUCUCACUCUCAUGAACCUCAGUCCCUCAAUCCACCCUCAAUCCCUUUCACCCUCUCAAGCUCACACACACUCUCAUCCUCCUGCGAUUCCGGCAAAGCAAUUUUGGGUAUGGAAGUUUUGGGUAUAGAAGUUUGGGUAAAGUAAGUUUGCAAAGCAUAGACGUCCUCAAGUUUGGUUCGAUUUCUGGUUCGAUUUCGAAUUCUUCAAGCUUGUACAAGUCCUUCAUCUACUGCUCCCCCACAGUACAAUUUCCCUCAAAUGAGUAAUCAGAAUCAAGUAGCUCCACAACAAGGACU